CCGCCCUUAGCUCAGUUGGUAGAGCACCUGCCUUUUAAGCAGAGGGUCGCAGGUUCGAGUCCUGCAGGGCGGACAA
rnacentral:tRNA from 5 species